UCACAAAACUAAAGGGCAAAAAAACAAGGAAACCGAGGGAAGAAAGAAGAGUCCAGAAAAAACGAGAAGGAAAGAGAGAGAAGACUUUAGAGGGGCUAGCAGAGGACGUGAGACAGGGAGGGUGGUGUGCCGACCUCUUUGAUCUCUUCAUAGCUGCCAUGGUUUGUACUGAGAGGAUUUGUGAGUUGUGUUUACAAGGUUAAGGUUCAUUACAUGAUCGUACGAGUCAAAUUGGGAGUUAGGAAGAGAUGGUCUGUAUUGCUCUUGAACAUGUACAUGGAAGCUUUGAUGGACAGAGCUUAAAGUUAAAUUCAAAGGUUCACUUGCCUCGAGUGACGAGUUGGUUGGUGGUUUCUACGAUUACGCUAGGGACGUGGAAGUAAUACUGUAAUAGCAUGAUAGCUGAUUAUCCGGUGAGUGAAUAGUGAACUUACUCGAUACACUGGAUCCAUAAUCACUUAUGUUUCUACACAUGCAUCAGAUUUGAAGUCCGUGGCACAUUUGAGAUCUUUGUACAUUCUAUUCCAUUAUCGUUUACCUGACUCGUGAUGACACCAUUGGUUCCUA